rnacentral:rRNA from 1 species
AGGGGGGUAGAAUUCCAGGUGUAGCGGUGAAAUGCGUAGAGAUCUGGAGGAAUACCGGUGGCGAAGGCGGCCCCCUGGACAAAGACUGACGCUCAGGUGCGAAAGCGUGGGGAGCAAACAGGAUUAGAUACCUUGGUAGUCCACGCCGUAAACGAUGUCGACUUGGAGGUUGUGCCCUUGAGGCGCGGCUUCCGGAGCUAACGCGUUAAGUCGACCGCCUGGGGAGUACGGCCGCAAGGUUAAAACUCAAAUGAAUUGACGGGGGCCCGCACAAGCGGUGGAGCAUGUGGUUUAAUUCGAUGCAACGCGAAGAACCUUACCUACUCUUGACAUCCAGAGAACUUAGCAGAGAUGCUUUGGUGCCUUCGGGAACUCUGAGACAGGUGCUGCAUGGCUGUCGUCAGCUCGUGUUGUGAAAUGUUGGGUUAAGUCCCGCAACGAGCGCAACCCUUAUCCUUUGUUGCCAGCGGUCCGGCCGGGAACUCAAAGGAGACUGCCAGUGAUAAACUGGAGGAAGGUGGGGAUGACGUCAAGUCAUCAUGGCCCUUACGAGUAGGGCUACACACGUGCUACAAUGGCGCAUACAAAGAGAAGCGACCUCGCGAGAGCAAGCGGACCUCAUAAAGUGCGUCGUAGUCCGGAUUGGAGUCUGCAACUCGACUCCAUGAAGUCGGAAUCGCUAGUAAUCGUGGAUCAGAAUGCCACGGUGAAUACGUUCCCGGGCCUUGUACACACCGCCCGUCACACCAUGGGAGUGGGUUGCAAAAGAAGUAGGUAGCUUAACCUUCGGGAGGGCGCUUACCACUUUGUGAUUCAU